GGGCGGUUAGCUCAGCGGGAGAGCAUCGGCCUUACAAGCCGGGGGCCACAAGUUCAAAUCUUGUACCGCCCACCA
rnacentral:tRNA from 1 species